GUUGCAAGGAGUGGAGCAUGCUGGCUUCCUGACGGAACUCUGAGAAGUUCUUCAUGGCGUCCAUAGCUCGCAAGUGCUUCAGCAUGGACUCGCUAUCAGUCCCAGUGAAGGGAGCACCUCAGAGAAGACCAGCUUUCAGAAGGAAGAGCGACGUGGGAAAACCUGCAAAAUGGGCUGUCCACUGAGUCAAACAUUCUCAUCGGAAACCAACAAGAUCCCAAAAGGCAUCAAGGUCCCAAGCUCCGUUUCUAGGCUGAUGAUGUAAAUCCAGCUGAUAUGGACAACGUGUGGCCAGUUUAAUAGGGUUUUACUUCCUUUGCCUUCCAGCAGGACUUGGCCAUGCUCUGAAAUCUGAUUAUUCUAACCAGCCCGCUGUUACCAGGCUGCAGUUCAUCAUUUCCCCACCCUUCCCAAGACAGCUUUUACAGCCACUCUGACAUCAAACAUUUCCACUUUCCUUGUUAGUCAAAUAAAACUC